rnacentral:rRNA from 1 species
CGCGAAAGUUCUCUUCGGAGGAUGAGUAGAGUGGCGCACGGGUGAGUAACACGUAGGUAAUCUGCCUUUGGGUGGGGAAUAUUUGCCGGAAACGGCUGCUAAUACCGCAUAAUGCAGCGGCAUCACAUGAUGACAGUUGUUAAAGCGGGGGAUCUCGCAAGAGACCUCGCGCCUGAAGAGGAGCCUGCGGCAGAUUAGCUAGUUGGUGAGGUAAAGGCUCACCAAGGCUGUGAUCUGUAGCCGGCCUGAGAGGGCGGUCGGCCACACUGACACUGACAUACGGGUCAGACUCCUACGGGAGGCAGCAGUCGGGAAUUUUGGGCAAUGGGCGAAAGCCUGACCCAGCAACGCCGCGUGAAGGAUGAAAUCCCUCGGGAUGUAAACUUCGCAAGAAUGGGAAGAAUAAGUCUGAGCUAAUAACUCAGAUGAUGACGGUACUAUUUGUAAGCUCCGGCUAACUCCGUGCCAGCAGCCGCGGUAAUACGGGGGGAGCAAGCGUUGUUCGGAUUUACUGGGCGUAAAGGGCGCGUAGGCGGCCACAACAAGUCACUUGUGAAAUCUCCGGGCUUAACUCGGAACGGUCAAGUGAUACUGUUGGGCUAGAGUGCGGAAGGGGCAACUGGAAUUCUCGGUGUAGCGGUGAAAUGCGUAGAUAUCGAGAGGAACACCUGCGGCGAAGGCGGGUUGCUGGGCCGACACUGACGCUGAGGCGCGAAAGCUAGGGGAGCGAACGGGAUUAGAUACCCCGGUAGUCCUAGCCUUAAACGAUGGAUGCUUGGUGUCUGGGGUUAUAAAGUCCCCGGGUGCCGUCGCUAACG